CAGAGUUCAUGCCCUUAUGGGUAGAUCUCCCACCCUUGAAUAUGUUACCUUUGUUGCUUUGGCAGGCCGCUUCGGCUACCGGCUCCGGCUGGUGAGUGCCUGCCAGAGGACCCAAAUUCUGUGUUAUAGUGUCGUCUGAGUACUAUAUAAUAGUUA
rnacentral:misc_RNA from 1 species